rnacentral:rRNA from 1 species
GGCUCAGGAUGAACGCUGGCGGCGUGCCUAACACAUGCAAGUCGAACGGACACCAUGGUGUAGCAAUACUCCAGAAGUGUUAGUGGCGAACGGGUGAGUAACACGUGAAGAACCCACCCCGGACUUCGGAAUAACCUCGGGAAACCAGGGCUAAUACCGGAUACCUUCCUCUGGCGACAUCGCCGGGGGAAGAAAGAUUUACGGUCCGGGUCGGCUUCGCGGCCUAUCAGUUUGUUGGCGGGGUAACGGCCCACCAAGACUUCGACGGGUAGCUGGUCUGAGAGGAUGAUCAGCCACACUGGGACUGAGACACGGCCCAGACUCCUACGGGAGGCAGCAGUGGGAAUCUUGCUCAAUGGGCGCAAGCCUGAAGCAGCAACGCCGCGUGCGGGAUGAAGGCCCUCGGGUUGUAAACCGCUUUCAGUAGGAACGAAAAUGACGGUACCUACAGAAGAAGGUCCGGCUAACUACGUGCCAGCAGCCGCGGUAACACGUAGGGACCGAGCGUUGUCCGGAUUUAUUGGGCGUAAAGAGCUCGUAGGCUGUUCAGUAAGUCAGGUGUGAAAACUCUGGGCUUAACCCAGAGCCUGCAUUUGAUACUGCUGUGACUAGAGUUCGGUAGGGGAGCGGGGAAUUCCUAGUGUAGCGGUGAAAUGCGCAGAUAUUAGGAGGAACACCGGUGGCGAAGGCGCCGCUCUGGGCCGAAACUGACGCUGAGGAGCGAAAGCGUGGGUAGCAAACAGGAUUAGAUACCCUGGUAGUCCACGCCGUAAACGGUGGGCACUAGGUGUGGGCUCUAACCAACGGAGUCCGUGCCGUAGCUAACGCAUUAAGUGCCCCGCCUGGGGAGUACGGCCGCAAGGCUAAAACUCAAAGGAAUUGACGGGGGCCCGCACAAGCAGCGGAGCAUGUUGCUUAAUUCGAGGCAACGCGAAGAACCUUACCUGGGCUUGACAUGGUCGGAAAAGCCGUAGAGAUACGGUGUCCUUCGGGGCCGAUCACAGGUGGUGCAUGGCUUUCGUCAGCUCGUGUCGUGAGAUGUUGGGUUAAGUCCCGCAACGAGCGUAACCCUUGUCCUAUGUUGCCAGCGGGUCAUGCCGGGGACUCAUAGGAGACUGCCGGGGUCAACUCGGAGGAAGGUGGGGAUGACGUCAAGUCAUCAUGCCCCUUAUGUCCAGGGCUGCAAACAUGCUACAAUGGCCGGUACAAAGAGCUGCGAUCCCGCGAGGGUGAGCGAAUCUCAUAAAGCCGGUCUCAGUUCGGAUCGAAGUCUGCAACUCGACUUCGUGAAGCUGGAGUUGCUAGUAAUCCCAGAUCAGCAUUGCUGGGGUGAAUACGUUCCCGGGCCUUGUACACACCGCCCGUCACACCACGAAAGUCGGUAACACCCGAAGCCAGUGGCCCAACCGCAAGGAGGGAGCUGUCGAAGGUGGGAUCGGUGAUUGGGGUGAAGUCGUAACAAGGUA